ACUCCUACGGGAGGCAGCAGUGGGGAAUCUUAGACAAUGGGGAAACCCGUAGCAUCUAGCCAUGCCGCGUGAGUGAUGAAGGCCUUAGGGUCGUAAAGCUCUUUCGCCAGGGAUGAUAAUGACAGUACCUGGUAAAGAAACCCGCCGUACACUCCGUGCAGCAGCCGCGGUAAUACGGAGGGGUUAGCGUUGUUCGGAAUUACUGGGCGUAAAGCGCAUGCAGGUGGUUUGUUAAGUCAGAUGUGAAAGCCCGGGCGUCAACCACUCGGAAUUGCAUUUGAAACUGGCAGACUAGAGUACUGUAGAGGGGNGGUAGAAUUUCAGGUGUAGCGGUGAAAUGCGUAGAGAUCUGAAGGAAUACCGGUGGCGAA
rnacentral:rRNA from 1 species